CAGCUCAGGGCAAAACUGGAGGAUAUGCAUACUUGAAGGUUUCCACAUAUAGAAACAUCAAGCCACUUUGUGGGUAAGCAUCAAGCCGAGAAUGCGAAAAAGUCCCGGAUGUGUUCUCGCGCCGCCCGUUUUAUCGAGCAUGCAUCGGUGGUGACUUGUGUGGACUUGGUACAGCUAAAUAUCCCAGAAUGCAUUUCGUCCAAAACUCAAACGCGGCAAUGGCGGACGAGCAGGGCUAAGGGAAGCCCAAGAAGCAAAUAUCUGUGACAACCAUGAUGGGACCUACCUGGUGUUUUAACACCAGCUGCUCAGUCCAUCCAGACUCCCCUCCAUAUGCAACAGUGAUGCCAGCAACUCAAAUACAAGCUCUCUCCAAGUGAUUCCUUCAUCAUCAACAUCUGCAUCCACGAUCCAUUAGCUCAACAGCAACAUCUGUCAGCUGUGCAUCCAACUCGAGGGCAUCGCCUGCUGUGCUCAGGCGCUGGGCUGCAAUUUCCGUCCCUUG